GGGCCCGCACAAGCGGUGGAGCAUGUGGUUUAAUUCGAUGCAACGCGAAGAACCUUACCAGGGUUUGACAUCCUGCGAAUCUCUUGGAAACGAGAGAGUGCCUUCGGGAACGCAGUGACAGGUGGUGCAUGGCUGUCGUCAGCUCGUGUCGUGAGAUGUUGGGUUAAGUCCCGCAACGAGCGCAACCCACGUCUUUAGUUGCCAUCAUUUAGUUGGGCACUCUGAAAGAACUGCCUGUGAUAAGCAGGAGGAAGGUUGGGAUGACGUCAAGUCCUCAUGGCCCUUACGUGUUGGGCUACACACGUGCUACAAUGGCAGUGACAAUGAGAUGCUAAACGGCGACGUUAAGCUAA
rnacentral:rRNA from 1 species